GCAGUGGUGGUUCAGUGGUAGAAUUCUCCUGCCUUCCAUGAAGGAGAGCUGGGCUCGAUUCCCACCAAUGCA
rnacentral:tRNA from 1 species